rnacentral:tRNA from 1 species
GGGCGAUUAGCUCAGUUGGUAGAGCACCUGCCUUACAAGCAGGGGGUCACUGGUUCGAGUCCAGUAUUGCCCA